rnacentral:rRNA from 1 species
AUUGAACGCUGGCGGCAUGCCUUACACAUGCAAGUCGAACGGCAGCGGGGGAGAAGCUUGCUUUUCCUGCCGGCGAGUGGCGAACGGGUGAGUAAUACAUCGGAACGUGCCCUGUAGUGGGGGAUAACUAGUCGAAAGAUUAGCUAAUACCGCAUACGACCUGAGGGUGAAAGUGGGGGACCGCAAGGCCUCAUGCUAUAGGAGCGGCCGAUGUCUGAUUAGCUAGUUGGUGGGGUAAAGGCCUACCAAGGCGACGAUCAGUAGCUGGGCUGGGAGGACGAUCAGGCACACCGGGAGUGAGACACGGCCCAGACGCCUACGGGAGGCAGCAGUGGGGAAUUUUGGACAAUGGGCGAAAGCCUGAUCCAGCAAUGCCGCGUGUGUGAAGAAGGCCUUCGGGUUGUAAAGCACUUUUGUCCGGAAAGAAAUGGCUCUGGUUAAUACCUGGGGUCGAUGACGGUACCGGAAGAAUAAGGACCGGCUAACUACGUGCCAGCCGCCGCGGUAA